CUACGGUGGCACCAGUGGGGAAUAUUGGACAAUAGGGGAAACCCUGAUCCAGCAAUGCCGCGUGUGUGAAGAAGGCCUGCGGGUUGUAAAGCACUUUCGGUUGGGAGGACUGCUUCUAGCACUAAUAUUGUUGGAAGUUGACGUUACCUUCAGAAGAAGCACCGGCUAACUCCGUGCCAGCAGCCGCGGUAAUACGGAGGGUGCAAGCGUUAAUCGGAAUUACUGGGCGUAAAGCGCGCGUAGGCGGCUAGCUCAGUCGGGUGUGAAAGCCCCGGGCUUAACCUGGGAACUGCAUCCGAUACUGUCUAGCUUGAGUACAGGAGAGGAGAGUGGAAUUCCACAUGUAGCGGUGAAAUGCGUAGAUAUGUGGAGGAACACCAAUGGCGAAGGCAGCUCUCUGGCCUGAUACUGACGCUGAGGUGCGAAAGCGCGGGGAGCAAACAGGAUUAGAUACCCGGGUAGUC
rnacentral:rRNA from 1 species